AUUGAACGCUGGCGGCAGGCCUAACACAUGCAAGUCGAACGAGUGGCAGACGGGUGAGUAAUGUCUGGGAAAAUGCCUGAUGGGGGGGGAUAACUACUGGAAACGGUAGCUAAUACCGCAUCCCAUCGGAUGUGCCCAGAUGGGAUUAGCUAGUAGGUGGGGGAAAGGCUCACCAAGGCGACGAUCCCUAGCUGGUCUGAGAGGAUGACGAGCCACACUGGAACUGAGAAACGGUCCAGACGCAUACGGGAGGCAGCAGUGGGGAAUAUUGCACAAUGGGCGCAAGCCUGAUGCAGCCAUGCCGCGGGUAUGAAGAAGGCCUUCGGGUUGGAAAGUACUUUCAGCGGGGAGGCGUUACACGCAGAAGAAGCACCGGCUAACUCCGUGCCAGCCGCCGCGGUAAUAC
rnacentral:rRNA from 1 species